GCUGGGCAUGGUGGCGGGCGCCUGUAAUCCAAGCUACUCAGGAGGCUGAGGCAGGGGAAUCGCUUGAACCUGGGAGGCGGAGGUUGCAGUGAGCCAAGAUCGUGCCACUGCACUACAGCCUGGGUGACAAAGCGAGACUCUGUCUCAA
rnacentral:sRNA from 1 species